rnacentral:lncRNA from 1 species
AGAUACAUAUAAUACAUACAGUUUUAAUUCGUACGCGACCCUAAAUAAUAAGUUGGCGACCCCAUGGGGGGGGGGGUCACGACCCCCAGGUUGAGAAACACUGAUAUAAACUGUAUUGUUAUCGUUAUGUCAUUCUUUAAGUUUUACUUUUUUGUUUAAUUUCGUAACUUAUUAUAAUUUUCCAGAUUUUUGUACAUACAAAUAACAUUUUGAACGAGUCAUAUAUGAACACAGUAAUGAACCAACACUUCUCUCACAUAAGAUAAAUACAGACAACUAAUGAAACAGACGUAUAGGAUGUCAACCCGUCGAAAGGAGUCUGUGUCAAACUUCAAUGACACAUUAUUACUAUGCAUCAGGGCAUCCUGUAGCGAGGGUCAAAAUCAGUGGCUCGGUUCAUAAAUAAUAUGGAUGCCCAAUGGCUUACUGACGUCAAAAGUUAGGCGUCAAUGCGUUAUACACAAAAAACUGAUUUGAAUUUCCCAGUAUUAUUGUUGUAACUCGUAUUCGAUUAUUGGUAUAUAUAAGCUUAAUGGAAGACGUAUAUUUUGUACAUAAUUAAUGUUCCUAGGUACACUGAUUGUAUUUUUGUUAUUUCGUAAUUAAAACGGAUUUCUGAUAAGUGAAAUUUUCUUUGUUCAACUUCUGAAUUCUUCUGAAUUAAACUAACCAAAAAUAGUCCAUCCACUACCCAGAAGAGUUUCCAACUGACUAAAAUACUAGUAAAAGCUCCGAUUUUCAAAAUUAUAGACAAAAGACGAUAUCCCGUACAACAUUAUUGUUACAAGACCGAAGAUAAAAUUGGAAGAAUAGAAUAUUCGAGAGCGAGAGGGAAAUAGAGAAAAAUAAUUCCACUAAAUUGGUUAUUUAUGCACAUAACCAGACGUUUCUGUAGAAUUUGCUUUUCACAUUGUUUUGUUUUGAACAAAUGGUUCCUACAAGUAGCCCCUGUAGAUGAUUACCAUCAGUGCAAAUCGUACAAGUCACACACUAAACCUACGUGAAUUACACAUGAAUACUUAAUUAGGGUCAGAGGGACUUCACGCUCUGUAAUAAAUUAUCUUAAAUCCACAAAAUAUCACUAAAAUAUAUUAUGCAUUUAAAAAUAAAUACUGUUUAAAUGACAUAAAAUAUCAAGCAAUAGAGUUGUUUCAUAUAUAAAUAAAUUAAAUCAAACAAAACCGUUAGUUGUAACUUGUAGUAAUCGUAAUAGUUCUUAGUACGUAUCGUACACUUUUGGUUUUGAGCACUAUUUUCAGUAUUUUUUUUAUACGUUCACAUUAUACUAUCAUUAUUCUGCAAACUCGACCGACGUAAAACGAACACACAUCUUUGACUGAUUAAAUUAUUAGAAAAUUAGUAAAAGCCGAAAUAAAGUCGGACGAAGUUGGAGUUGUUAUUGUUUAUUAUGGAUUCAAACCAUUGUAAAGGAAACAUAUAAAUGUAAAAUAUUUGUAAAAUAUAUUUAUUCACUUCUUGAAUCCAAAACAGUAGCCAAAAACGAGGUUACGAGAAAAAAAAUGGGUCAAAUAUUAUGCACAAUACACUAAAACAUACAAUAUAUGUUUUUCAACGUAAGAUCUUUUUUUUCGUAAUGAAACACAUUUGUAUAAUAUCACUUAAACUCCUAAAUGUCGCCCUAGCCUUAUACAUAAUAAAUAUUAUUUUUUAUAUACGUGUCUGGCGACUUCUUCGCGAGCUAAAUGGCAUAUACACUAUACACUCGUACGACGUAUUGUUAUUUUUAGUCGCCUUCUUCCACCGCGCACUUACGACUCUAAUUAAAAAAAAAAAAUCUGUCUAGUAUAGUGUCAUCGUCGUAUGGACC